UGGUGGACAUCGGUAGCAUAGACUAACUAUAAUGAUGAGCCACAACGCCGGCCUCUGUUUAUUCUGUGUAGUUGAACGAUGCGGCUCUGUAUGCCUUACAGUACCUGUAAGGACUGUGCUCUAGCGCGUGCGCGGUAUUGCGAUCUGCGCGUUUUGAUAAAUACCGCUGUCAUCGCUGAUCGUAAGGCUUCUUCCACACCACGGAAGUGGCAGUGGGGCGGAAACUUCAAAGCAAGCGGAAGUUUUCUUUCGAGCUUGUUCAAGUCGUUGAAAUCUGUUCUGCCGUCGCCGCUUUCAUCACUUCUACGCAUCGUUUGCUAACAAAAUCACUAACCGCAGUUUGUUCGAGUCCCUCCAAUUCGAGGCCGUGAGCGGACCGAGCACACAGGGCGUUCCGCCGUUCAGUUGGCGCCGCAGCCCGUUCCGGGAGCUGGCUGCCCACUAUGGCCAGCCGGACCCUUGGCACUUCGGAUUCGAGCGACACCAAUGGGGUCACUGCUGGAGUCUGAAUGAUUGGAAGGCUUGAAGCACGGGGAGCGGCCUACAGCUGGAAGGGAAAGUCGAAAGAAGCAAGGGGGCGGGGAAGUGAAGAUAAUAAAGAGUGAAACAGAAC
rnacentral:lncRNA from 1 species